ACGGAGGAUCAUUGAAGAAAAAAAAGAACAAUGAUGAGUAAUCAGAAGUUUAUCAUGAGAACUUUGAUUGUAGUUCUUCUAUUCUCAAUAGGUACGGCAAGUUUGAUACUUAAAUUCGAGAAAUGUUUUUCUAAAUGUGAUCAAACACCUAAUUGCAUGUCCUUCUGCAUUGGCAAGGGAUAUUAUCAAGGAUAUUGUAAUCCAGACUUAUCUAAUCCUAAUCUUAUAUUGUGUUGUUGUUACAAUUAUAAUGCUCCUAAACUUGUAACUUAGAGCUUUUCUUCUAGUUUGAAGAAAAUAUUAUAUUUUAUAAAUAUAAGCAAACUUUAUUAGAAGAAAUAAAACAUAAAAUAUUAUCA